GACGAACGCUGGCGGCGUGCUUAACACAUGCAAGUCGAACGGAAAGGCCUGCUUUCCCUUGUGGAUUGCGGGUACUCGAGUGGCGAACGGGUGAGUAACACGUGAGUGAUCUGCCCCCAACUUGGGUAUAAGCCUGGGAAACUGGGUCUAAUUCCCGAUAGGACUGCAGGGUGGUGCCUGUGGUGGAAAACGAUUUUCUAGUGGUUGGGGAUGAGCUCGCGGCCUAUCAGCUUGUUGGUGGGGUAAUGGCCUACCGAGGCGGCGACGGGUAGCCGGCCUGGGAGGGUGGACGGCAACAGUGGGACUGAGAUACGGCCCAGACUCCUACGGGAGGCAGCAGUGGGGAAUAUUGCACAAUGGGCGGAAGCCUGAUGCAGCGACGCCGCGUGGGGGAUGACGGCCUUCGGGUUGUAAACUCCUUUCGACCGCGAGGAAGCCACCUGGUUGGAAGGGUGGUGACGGUAGUGGUAGAAGAAGCACCGGCUAACUACGUG
rnacentral:rRNA from 1 species